UGGGGAAUAUUGCACAAUGGGGGAAACCCGUGAUGCAGCGACGCCGCGUGGAGGAAGAAGGUCUUCGGAUUGUAAACUCCUGUUGUCGGGGACGAUAAUGACGGUACCCGACAAGAAAGUGACGGCUAACUACGUGCCAGCAGCCGCGGUAAAACGUAGGUCACAAGCGUUGUCCGGAAUUACUGGGUGUAAAGGGAGCGCAGGCGGGAAGGCAAGUUGGAAGUGAAAUCUACGGGCUCAACUCGUAAAUUGCUUUCAAAACUGUUUUCUUGAGUAGUGCAGAGGUAGGCGGAAUUCCGGGUGUAGCGGUGGAAUGCGUAGAUAUCGGGAGGAACACCAGUGGCGAAGGCGGCCUACUGGGCACCAACUGACGCUGAGGCUCGAAAGUAUGGGUAGCAAACAGGAUUAGAUACCCUGGU
rnacentral:rRNA from 1 species